GAUCCUGGCUUAGGAUGAACGCUAGCUACAGGCUUAACACAUGCAAGUCGAGGGGCAGCGGAAGUUAGCUGCUAACUUGCCGGCGACCGGCGCACGGGUGAGUAACGCGUAUCCAACCUUCCCCUUAGUAGGGCAUAGCCCGUAGAAAUGCGGAUUAAUACCCUAUGUUAUUCGUCGAGGACAUCUGAAGUGAAUCAAAGGUUUACCGCUAAGGGAUGGGGAUGCGUCUGAUUAGGCAGCAGGCGGGGUAACGGCCCACCUGGCCGACGAUCAGUAGGGGUUCUGAGAGGAAGGUCCCCCACAUUGGAACUGAGACACGGUCCAAACUCCUACGGGAGGCAGCAGUGAGGAAUAUUGGUCAAUGGUCGAGAGACUGAACCAGCCAAGUAGCGUGCAGGAUGACGGCCCUAUGGGUUGUAAACUGCUUUUAUGGCGGGGAUAAAGUGACGUACGUGUACGUUUUUGUAGGUACCGCAUGAAUAAGGACCGGCUAAUUCCGUGCCAGCAGCCGC
rnacentral:rRNA from 1 species